AUUGAACGCUGGCGGCAGGCUUAACACAUGCAAGUCGAGCGGGGUGAUGGUGCUUGCACUAUCACUUAGCGGCGGACGGGUGAGUAAUGCUUAGGAAUCUGCCUAUUAGUGGGGGACAACAUCUCGAAAGGGAUGCUAAUACCGCAUACGUCCUACGGGAGAAAGCAGGGGAUCACUUGUGACCUUGCGCUAAUAGAUGAGCCUAAGUCGGAUUAGCUAGUUGGUGGGGUAAAGGCCUACCAAGGCGACGAUCUGUAGCGGGUCUGAGAGGAUGAUCCGACACAAGGGGACUGAGACACGGCCGAGACUCCUACGGGAGGCAGCAGGGGGGAAUAUUGGACAAUGGGGGGAACCCUGAUCCAGCCAUGCCGCGUGUGUGAAGAAGGCCUUAUGGUUGUAAAGCACUUUAAGCGAGGAGGAGGCUCUUUUGGUUAGCACCCAAGAUGAGUGGACGUUACUCGCAGAAUAAGCACCGGCUAACUCUGUGCCAGCAGCCGCGGUAA
rnacentral:rRNA from 1 species